rnacentral:lncRNA from 1 species
UCAGAGGACGGAGCACCUCAUGCCGGGCUCUCCAAAGUGAGUCUCUGUGGGAUGCUGUCAGCCGUCCCCCGCACCUGGAGCCAGAGUGCCUGAGCACCGUGGAACUGCCCCAGAGCCCGCGAGAGAAGACGCGCGACACCAGGUUGGUCCCAUGUGAAGCCAGGCCCGCUGUGGCCCGGUCUGGGUCUCAGGCCUCUGGCCCUGAAAACUCCAGUAUUGGUCAUGGCGUCUCCUAGGGCUUAGCUCAGAGCCUGGCACGUAGCAGGCGCUGUCUAAAUGCUGGCUCAGAUGAUUAGUGAUGACUAUUACUUCUGCAGGGCUUUCCAGCCAGUUUACAAAGCCAAGCUUAUCUCCGCUGUGCAGAUGAGGAAGCACAUAGCCUGUAAGAGGCCUUGAACCCAGACCCCACCAGGCUGGCCGAGCAGGGACAUUGUCAGUCUUGAAAGACUGAUGCUGAGGGGCUCCCACCGAAGUGGCCUUGCUCAUCUAACAUCGGCUGGGUCCUUUGAGGAAUCUGCCUUGUUCCUCCUGAGCACAUGGGUCUUGGUUGGUCUUUCCCACCCUCUGGUUUUCCCAGAUGGUCUCGAGUUAUUUGUGACUCCUGUCAGCUGGUGGAUCAGAGAACACAGUGCGGGGGGGAGGCAGGCUUUUUGUUUGUUUGUUUGAUCUUCACAGAAACUUUCUGUCCGCGUGCAGGAGCAGAGAUGCCGCUCAGCAUGGGAAUGCUGGAGCUCAUCAACUUCAGUGCCAUCCCCAUGGUCCCCCUUGACGAUGACCUGGCGACUUCGUCCAAGGAGAAGCGCAUACAGCAUGAAGAGCUGAAGAUGCGAGUGAAACAGAGCCCUCCCUUGUGCCUCAUGGGCUCCAUGGACCAGCUGAAUAGAAAGAUCUCCCAGAUAGACCUGAAGACCAGACUGUACAAGACCAGCAUUUACAACACCAUCCUGGUCAUCGAGAAACUGGAGGCAGAGAAGAAACUGAGAGAGCAGCAGCGCAUCUUGGGAGAAAAAGGCAAAGCCCCUUUUAACAACCUAGUGCUGGGGUAG